AUCGUGUCAGGAUGAACGCUAGCUACAGGCUUAACACAUGCAAGUCGAGGGGCAUCAUGGAGUUUGCUUGCAAACUCUGAUGGCGACCGGCGCACGGGUGAGUAACGCGUAUCCAACCUUCCCUAUAGUAGAGGAUAGCCCGGCGAAAGUCGGAUUAAUACUCUAUGUUUUCCGUUGCAGACAUCUAAGAUGGAACAAAGGCUUGCCGCUAUAGGAUGGGGAUGCGUCUGAUUAGGUAGUCGGCGGGGUAACGGCCCACCGAGCCAUCGAUCAGUAGGGGUUCUGAGAGGAAGGUCCCCCACAUUGGAACUGAGCCACGGUCCAAACUCCUACGGGAGGCAGCAGUGAGGAAUAUUGGUCAAUGGGCGAGAGCCUGAACCAGCCAAGUAGCGUGCAGGACGACGGCCCUAUGGGUUGUAAACUGCUUUUAUGCGGGGAUAAAGUUCACUACGUGUAGUGUUUUGUAGGUACCGCAUGAAUAAGGACCGGCUAAUUCCGUGCCAGCCGCUGC
rnacentral:rRNA from 1 species